rnacentral:rRNA from 1 species
GAUGAACGCUAGCGGGAGGCCUAACACAUGCAAGCCGAGCGGGAUUUGUUGGUUAGCUUGCUAACUAACAAUGAGAGCGGCGUACGGGUGCGUAGCACGUGUGCAACCUGCCUUUAUCUGGGGGAUAGCCUUUCGAAAGGAAGAUUAAUACCCCAUAACAUAUUGAUUGGCAUCAGUUAAUAUUGAAAGCUCCGGCGGAUAGAGAUGGGCACGCGUAAGAUUAGCUAGUUGGUGAGGUAACGGCUCACCAAGGCUGCGAUCUUUAGGGGGCCUGAGAGGGUGAUCCCCCACACUGGUACUGAGACACGGACCAGACUCCUACGGGAGGCAGCAGUGAGGAAUAUUAGACAAUGGGUGAGAGCCUGAUCCAGCCAUCCCGCGUGAAGGACUAAGGACCUAUGGUUUGUAAACUUCUUUUAUACAGGGAUAAACCUACUCUCGUGAGGGUAGCUGAAGGUACUGUAUGAAUAAGCACCGGCUAACUCCGUG